rnacentral:tRNA from 1 species
GCCUGGGUGGCUCAGUCGGUUGAGUGUCUGACUUCGGCUCAGGUCAUGAUCUCACAGCUCGUGAGUUCGAGCCCCACGUCAGACU